AUUUCUAAUUUUAAGUAUUCUUUUUUUUACAGACAAAUAAAAAGAAGUGUCAAGAAUUGCCUUUGGGACUCUGAAGGCUGAAGAAUACCUGAUAAAUUGCAAGUUUGUGCCCCACAGCUGCACAGCUGGCAAACAUUGACCUGUGUUUGAAGAAACUCGAAUAUAUUUGAGAGAAAAUGACCUCCCCUACAAAUUAAUUAAAUUUGAAACUAAAAUAAUUAUAUCUCUUCAUUGAUUCCCUUUAUUUUCACAGUAUCCAUGGGAAUUUUGCCAAUUCUUCAUAGAGUGGUUUAAGCUUAUUGACAACCCAGUUGGAUGAAAUACAGUUUGAAUAUAUGCUCGUGACUCUGUCCUUUGCAAGUUGAAUUGAGGAAUAACAUGCAUCAGAUGGGAUACUUAAGGAGCCCUUUCUGAGAAGCACCAUAUAGUUUAAGAGCUCAGGUGACUGCUUUAUAAGAGAUCUGAGACCACUUUAGUUUUCCCCAACUUUUCACACCGGUUGCAAUCCAUGCAGGAUGUUGAAAGGAGCUGGA
rnacentral:lncRNA from 1 species